AUUGAACGCUGGCGGCAGGCCUAACACAUGCAAGUCGAGCGAGCGGCGGACGGGUGAGUAAUGUCUGGGAAACUGCCCGAUGGAGGGGGAUAACUACUGGAAACGGUAGCUAAUACCGCAUACGAUCAGAUGUGCCCAGAUGGGGUUAGCUAGUAGGUGGGGUAACGGCUCACCAAGGCGACGCGCCCUAGCUGGUCUGGGAGGAUGACAAGCCACACUGGAACUGAGACACGGUCCUGACUCCUACGGGAGGCAGCAGUGGGGAAUAUUGCACAAUGGGCGCAAGCCUGAUGCAGCCCUGCCGCGUGUGUGAAGAAGGCCUUCGGGUUGUAAAGCACUUUCAGCGGGGAGGCGUUACCCGCAGAAGAAGCACCGGCUAACUCCGUGCCAGCAGCCGCGGUAAUAC
rnacentral:rRNA from 1 species